GCCGGAUUAGCUCAGUGGUAGAGCACCCGAUUUGUAAUCGGACGGUCGUCAGUUCGACCCUGACAUCCGGCU
rnacentral:tRNA from 2 species